UGGCUCAACGUCAGAGACUUAGACCGCCUGU
rnacentral:piRNA from 1 species